rnacentral:tRNA from 1 species
GCUCCUGUAGUAUAGCUUGGAUAGAAUGUAGCCUUGCGGAGGCUGAGACCUGGGUUCGAAUCCCGGCAGGAGCA